rnacentral:misc_RNA from 1 species
AUCCACGGCCGUCUUGUUCAUUUUUUUGCACUGUUUCUGUGCUCUUUUCUUUUUAAAAUUGAUGUCGAAGCGCCGUCUUUUUGUUUUCUUCGCGGUAGCAGAUUAUCGUUUAUAUGCUUUUCUCUCAGAUCUUUUUUAUUUUUAUUAGUUAUCAAAUCAAGUUCAGCCUCUCUGGCCUCUUUCUAAAUGCACCAUCAACUCCAGUUCACCGCGGGACUGUUUAGAUGACCGUGGUCUCGCCCCGUUCCAGCUCUGGCACCCUGCGCUGUGAGAUCCCGCAGGUAGCGCGCACAGACCACCAUGCGGAUCCGGCCCAGAGAGGUGCUGCUUCUCACCGUCUGCCUGGCAGCGCUGUUUGGGCCCGCUGCCAGUGAUGCCGUCCCCCGGGCAUACACCAACGGGCACGAUAUUCGGCUGGAGAUCAGCAAAAAUGGCUUGUUUCAUGUUUUCUUCGACGCGCCGGUGCCGGAGGAACUCACGCUGACCUUUCAUCGGAGCGACGAGUCCGUCCUGGGGGAGCUGGCGCCCCUACAGAUAGCCGCCAACAGUACAGAGACCAUCACGGUGCGGCUGGAGCCGCUUCACCGGGGACACUGCACGGUCACUGCCAACACGUCACUGCCCGAGGACCAGUUCAGUGCGUCUGAUGUCUACGUGCGCGUCAACGUGCUGGAGACGUUCGGUCUGGACACGUUCAGCUCGGUGGUGGGCUGGGUCUAUUUCGCCGCCUGGACGGUGUCGUUCUACCCGCAGAUAUACACCAACUACAGACGAAAAAGCGUGGUCGGCCUGAACUUUGACUUUCUGGCGCUGAACCUGGUCGGGUUUACAUUCUAUUCGGUGUUCAACUGCGGGCUGUACUUCUCAGUCGCCAUUCAGGACAUGUACUUUGCCGACCACCCCUACGGCCUGGUCCCGGUGGCGGUCAAUGACGUUGUGUUUGCGCUGCACGCGCUGUUCGCCUGCAUCGUCACCGUACUGCAGUGCUUCAUCUAUGAGCGCGGUGGCCAGACAGUCUCGCUGGCGGCUCGCGGCCUGCUGGUCGUCUUCGCGCUGGUCAUCAUCAUCACGGCCAUCGUGGCCGGCUGCGGCGUGGUCAACUGGCUCUGGUUCCUCUACGUCUUCUCCUACGUCAAGCUGGCCAUCACCAUCGUCAAAUAUGUGCCGCAGGCGUACCACAACUACCAGCGCCGCAGCACAGAGGGCUGGGCGAUCGGUAACGUGCUGCUCGACUUCACCGGCGGCUCGCUCAGCAUUCUGCAGAUGUUCAUCGAUGCCUACAACUACAACGACUGGUCGUCGAUAUUCGGCAACCCGACCAAGUUCGGUCUGGGCCUGUUCUCUGUGCUGUUCGACAUUCUCUUCAUAUGCCAGCACUACUGUCUCUACCGUGCCGUACUGUGCCGUUCCGUGCCGUGCUGAGGGGACGCUUCUUGCAGCGACAGCAGUCCGUACUCGGCAAUAGACGGCGGUCCGCCGCUGUUGACUCCAACGGAGCUCAUUAGCUAGUUCCCGGCCGGAUGCCUCUGAGCUGCCCAUCAGCUCCUCUACCUCGGGGACGGGCAACACCCAUGAGGCCUACACCAAGUUCUAGCUCUUCCAGUCGCCUGUCGACGCGGGCGGCUUGCCGUUGCUGUGUGGCCGAGAGGGACUCCUACCGCCCCUGUGUAGCUGAGAGGGACUCCUACCGCCCCUGUGUAGCCGAGAGGGACUCCUACCGUCGCUCGCGGUGUGGCUCGCCACUGUUUCGGGGCGAUGUGGAGCCACUGCCGAAGCUCUCCUGCCACGUAGAUAAAGCGUGGGUGACGGUAGGGUCGGUUAUUGCCGGCGUGGCUUUGACUAGCUGUCUGCUAUUGCCAAGAACUCGGUCUGAGAGACGCAGACUGUGCCCGCGAGACUCACCGUACCAGCUGAAAAGUGAUAGAAGGGACGGGGUCGUUCAACUGCUCAGUGUCAGUGGUGAUAUAGUGGUCGACAAUGAUAGAAUGCUGUCCCCGUGCUCCUACUGGGGUGCGGCAGGGAUAAUACUUGAUCAAUGAUCAUGACGUUUUAGCUCACGUGUGGAGUGUAGUUAGCCGAGGAUUGAGUAUAGUAUCGCUAGUUGAUACUCACGAUGGGUGCUGUUCCGUUUACAUGAUAUUUGAUUCCAUGAACGGGGGCCAAUAUUUACGCUCCCUUAGGUAUCUACUGGCCAUGCUAGUCGACUGCUCCGAUUGCUCGGUGGGAUGGUCUGUCACGCACGAUAGUGUUAUUACUGGACCCUGCGGCAGACGGUGAUAUGUGAAUAGCGCGCCUGCGUGGUCCAUAUAGUCUCCGGUGUCUAUGAGCGCAGCGCUGGGUUUGAGGCCGGCCAGUCCCGCCAUUGAUCAAAGUAUUAUUUAUCGUGUUUGUUUGUGUGUUGAUAGAGGUGUGUGCGUGUUGUGCCAUAUUUAUCAUUUGUUCUGAUUUGUAUUAGCUUUAUUUCACAGUAUGCGUCAUAUUAAGUCGUAAACCGUGAUAUAUUCAUUGCCGUGUUAUAUAUAUUUAGCGGGGACCUGAAGAACAAAUGAAAUUGAUAUCGUAGAUUGGGAUCUCGACAAUCGACUGUUUCACGUUGUAUUAUGUAUCAGUGCUGUUUUAUUUUCAAUGCUCUUCGAUCGAGAAGGCUUGCUAUCGCUCGAUUUUGAACAAGCUUAUCCAGACCAUCAAGUUUACCGUGCCAUGUUGACUCAAUUUUCGCACUGGACAUUUCCUGCGCCUAUAAGUGUCAUCAAGUAACAUUAGCGUUACUGGCCGCUAUGAGCUAGUCUUGUAUUGUUUAUAGGCGCGAAUAUUCGAUGCGAUGCGAAACCCUUGUAUAAUUCCAAACUGCUUUUAAACGGAAUUGCUAAACGUUGCAACAUUUAACCGGACAUGCUAAAUAAUAUUGCUUUGCGUUGUUUCAUUUUACAAGGUGGACAAUCCUUGCUGGAGUCGGAACUAUGUCGUCACAAUAAGCCUAUCAUGAUCGCUGGAUUUUGACUGCCAGUGUCUGAUGUAUAAUUGCACAGUGUUUAUACAACUUAUAUCGGUCGUUCUA